rnacentral:lncRNA from 1 species
UGAACGAUUGAUAAUAAUAGUUAUUGUAUUAUCCAUUCCAACCUCUUUAAUCCAUCUGAUCACCUAUUCUCGUGUAUCAAAUCUUUCAGUCGUUAUAAACGCAUCAGAAGUAUCUACACAUAUUUGAGGAAGAUUUUCCAUUCCUACAUAAUAAAAAAAUUUCAAAAAAAAAUCCAAAAAAAAAAAAAUUCAAAAAAAAAAAUUGCAAAC